rnacentral:rRNA from 1 species
UGGGGAAUUUUGGACAAUGGACGAAAGUCUGAUCCAGCCAUGCCGCGUGCGGGAAGAAGGCCUUCGGGUUGUAAACCGCUUUUGUCAGGGAAGAAAUCCUUUGAGUUAAUACCUCGGGGGGAUGACGGUACCUGAAGAAUAAGCACCGGCUAACUACGUGCCAGCAGCCGCGGUAAUACGUAGGGUGCAAGCGUUAAUCGGAAUUACUGGGCGUAAAGCGUGCGCAGGCGGUUAUGCAAGACAGAUGUGAAAUCCCCGGGCUCAACCUGGGAACUGCAUUUGUGACUGCAUAGCUUGAGUGCGGCAGAGGGGGAUGGAAUUCCGCGUGUAGCAGUGAAAUGCGUAGAUAUGCGGAGGAACACCGAUGGCGAAGGCAAUCCCCUGGGCCUGCACUGACGCUCAUGCACGAAAGCGUGGGGAGCAAACAGG